UACGAAGGGGGCUAGCGUUGCUCGGAAUCACUGGGCGUAAAGGGUGCGUAGGCGGGUCUUUUAAGUCAGGGGUGAAAUCCUGGAGCUCAACUCCAGAACUGCCUUUGAUACUGAGAGCUUGAGUCGGGAGAGGUGAGUGGAACUGCGAGUGUAGAGGUGAAAUUCGUAGAUAUUCGCAAGAACACCAGUGGCGAAGGCGGCUCACUGGCCCGGUACUGACGCUGAGGUGCGAAAGCGUGGGGAGCAAACAGG
rnacentral:rRNA from 1 species